AGGGUUCUUUCCUAGAUCCUUCAGAGAGAGCAUGGCCCUGCUGACACCUUGAUUUUGGAAUUCUGGCCUCCAAAGCUGUGAGAGAAUGAAUUUCUGUUGUUUUAAGUCACCAAUUUGUGGUACUUUGUUACAAUAGCCUUAGCAA
rnacentral:miRNA from 1 species